rnacentral:lncRNA from 1 species
AAGGCUGUAGCUUGGGAUCCUCACGGUGUAGAUGUUAGGGGCUGUGGAGAGAGUCGUCGUGGAGAGUCAUCGUGGGAGGAAAGCUUUGGUUGAAGCUGUGGCAUAGCCAGACUGUGGGAGGGGGGCAAAAGCACAGACUGUAGAGUAGAGAAGAGAGAGGGGCGAGUAGAGAAGAGAGUGGAGCAAGAGCACAAACUGAGUAGAAAAGGGAG